rnacentral:misc_RNA from 1 species
CGGUAGGAGCGAGUGGUUGUCUCUCGCGUGGGCCCACGGAGUACGGCACCGCGGGUCGUUUUUUGCCAACCCUCGUGGUUUUCGCAAGUUUUGGAUUUGCCUUCUGGCUCGCUGCGAUUGUCGGCAGCGCAGAUCUACACUCUGGCCAAAACCAAGCUUCAGCUGUGCUGUCAUCUUCAGCGAGUAUCGCAUCCCACGCCUUGUCAGACCACGCCACGAAUUCCGAGCCCGCUAUCUUCGAUGACGAGCUCGGCGCGUGGCGGAACUUCAGUGAUUGCCAUCGACGAAUCACCUACGGACAUUGGCGCCCAUGUGACCAAAAUGAACCCUAUAUAGACGAGCAACGCUUCUGCCUCGUGGGAUUUGGAGCCGGCACGCUGGCGGACAUGCAGCUGAUUUCCCUGUUGUUCACGCAGGUUGGUUUACAUUAUCCCAUUCGGGCUUCUCGGCUAUUGUGUGCGUUGCCGGCUCCUCCCACUUUGGCAUUUGCUGAUGCUCAUUGUCGUAAAAGAGCGCGAGCGCCUCGAAGAACGUCUUUUCUGUUUGCUAAAAGGGUGUUAUAUUUGUUCCUACUGCUGUUGCUUUCCGGCGAUGUGGAACUUAACCCGGGCCCUGUUGAAAUGGAUAUCUUACAAAGCCUGCAAAAAGGGCAGACUGAAAUCCUAAAUAAGCUAGAUUUUAUUGAAUCCCGGAUCGCGAAGCAUGAGGGAAUGAUAGUGGACAUAAAGGACAGCCUUGGAGCAACUAAGAAGCAAGUCGAAGACUUAGGCAAAAUAGUUACAGAGCAUAAGGAUGACAUUUCGAUUCUGCAGAAAGAGUUGAGGAAUUUGCAGGCUAAGAACGUUGACCUGGAAAACAGAAGUCGUAGACAAAACCUUUUGUUUUAUGGAGUAGAUGACAAUAAAAAAGAAACAUGGGACGAAUCCCAGGAAUUGA